rnacentral:rRNA from 1 species
GACGAACGCUGGCGGCGUGCUUAACACAUGCAAGUCGAACGGAAAGGCCCUGCUUUUGUGGGGUGCUCGAGUGGCGAACGGGUGAGUAACACGUGAGUAACCUGCCCUUGACUUUGGGAUAACUUCAGGAAACUGGGGCUAAUACCGGAUAGGAGCUCCUGCUGCAUGGUGGGGGUUGGAAAGUUUCGGCGGUUGGGGAUGGACUCGCGGCUUAUCAGCUUGUUGGUGGGGUAGUGGCUUACCAAGGCUUUGACGGGUAGCCGGCCUGGGAGGGUGACCGGCCACAGUGGGACUGGGGUACCGCCCAGGCCCCUUCGGGGGGGAGGCGUGGGGAAUUUUGCACAAUGGGCGGAAGCCUGAUGCAGCAACGCCGCGUGCGGGAUGACGGCCUUCGGGUUGUAAACCGCUUUCGCCUGUGACGAAGCGUGAGUGACGGUAAUGGGUAAAGAAGCACCGGCUAACUACGU